UACGUAGGGCGCAAGCGUUGUCCGGAAUUAUUGGGCGUAAAGAGCUCGUAGGCGGCUUGUCACGUCGGGUGUGAAAGCCCGGGGCUUAACCCCGGGUCUGCAUUCGAUACGGGCUGGCUAGAGUGUGGUAGGGGAGAUCGGAAUUCCUGGUGUAGCGGUGAAAUGCGUAGAGAUCCGGAGGAACCCCAGAGGCGAAGGCGGCGUCCUGGCUCGCAUCUGACGCUCAGACACGACAGCAUGGGGAGCGAACGGG
rnacentral:rRNA from 1 species